CAGUUCGGAUCGCAGGCUGNAACCCGCCUGCGUGAAGCCGGAAUUGCUAGUAAUCGCGGAUCAGCAUGCCGCGGUGAAUACGUUCCCGGGCCUUGUACACACCGCCCGUCACACCAUGAGAGCCGGGGGACCCGAAGUCGGUAGUCUAACCGUAAGGAGGACGCCGCCGAAGGUAAAACUGGUGAUUGGGGUGAAGUCGUAACAAGGUAUC
rnacentral:rRNA from 1 species